rnacentral:lncRNA from 1 species
AGGAAGGUUGUGGAAUCUUUUUCCUCAAGGCCUAAAACCAACAACUAAAUUUUGAAAUGGAGGCUGAGAUGAAGGUGGAUGAGGAAAGAAGACAGUUACUGGGUGCUCUUCUGCUGUGAGAUGCUAUGGAAGCCUUCUCAGAGCCUGGGAAUAUUUUAGAUUUCCAGCCUUUCACCAGGACCUUUAAGCUUGAGGCAAAUGUUUUGUGUGCAAACCUUCCUUUUGAGCAUCUGGUGCCAAUCAGUGGCAGAGGCAGGACUCUUGAAUAGCUGGGAACCCUGGAUUUUUCUGACACUAAAUAUCAUCUGACAUCCACCAAUGCAUCUGUCUCAGCUAGGGAAGAAGAACCAGAACUGUCCAGCUCUGAAUAUAAUGUUACUGAAUCCUGAAUGCAUGACUCUCGAUCUGGUUCCUGUUCCGGAAAUCUCAAGCUCAUGGCCUUAUUCAAGGAGUGUGAGGAAGCAUGUAAAAAAGUGGAUGGGAAAGAAAACCAUGCAACAGAUAAAUAAUUCAUCUUACUACAGUGCUGAUCAGCCGCCUGGGGGGAUAACAAAUGUAUGAGACCUGGAGAAUUUCUAUCUUUCCUAAUGAAAAGAAGAUUUUGAAUAACCAUAGCAACAGUAAAACCUGCUGUGAAUCUUACAGCACCAAGUGUUGCAGGACUGUCUGCAAAGGUCUCCUGUUAGUCUCUGCAACCAUCUGUUAUUCUGUUUCAGCAGUCCAAAACAUCAAACAGACUUUUUUUUUUAAGCAGUUGCCAAUUUCACUGAAAGAGAAGGACCUCAUGAAGAAGAGGAGAACAGAAUAA